rnacentral:misc_RNA from 1 species
GAUGAAGAACGCAUCGAAAUGCGAUAACUAGUGUGAAUUGCAGAAUUCCGUGAAUCAUCGAGUCUUUGAACGCACAUUGCGCCCCCUGGUAUUCCGGGGGGCAUGCCUGUCCGAGCGUCAUUGCUGCCCAUCAAGCACGGCUUGUGUGUUGGGUCGUCGUCCCCUCUCCGGGGGGGACGGGCCCCAAAGGCAGCGGCGGCACCGCGUCCGAUCCUCGAGCGUAUGGGGCUUUGUCACCCGCUCUGUAGGCCCGGCCGGCGCUUGCCGAACGCAAAUCAAUCUUUUUCCAGGUUGACCUCGGAUCAGGUAGGGAUACCCGCUGAACUUAAGCAUAUCAAUAAGCGGAGGA